CGGCAGUAAUGAGAGUGCCAGACAAAUUUGACCUUCCCGGCAUCAAUGGGACAGAUGACAGGAAAAUAGACCAAACUGCAUGCAACAUGGGGAAAGUGGGGCAAGAUAAGGGAUUGGGCCAUCCUUGGUGUUUUCAGCUUUCUCCCGUGGGACACUUAGCGGUUUAAAAUAAUUCGCAAUGUCACCCUUCAUCCUCGGAUGGAUGUAUCAGCAUUUUUUUUUUCCCCAUAAGUGGACGCACAGAUGAAGCCUUCUGCACAAUUAGCAAAACCGGUCACAUCGUGAACAUCGCAGCAAACAAUGAAAAAGCUCGAGAAUUCCUCCCUUGCAUCCUCCCACCAGCCAGCCUCAAAAUACUGCUUGUAAGGCAUAACACCCACUUCAAUCAUGUCAGCUGCUAAUCAUUAAUUGCUUCAGAAAAAGACAAUAUUUUACCCAUCCUCUUUGGAGUUCGAGUGUGAAUGGGGAAGCGAAAGAGAGGGAAAGUGAGUGAAACAUGAAAAGCUUGAUUUGUUAGGACCCCUGCUGUCUGAAAGGAGAUCAAAGCUCAGAGGGAGGCUGUAAAACAGCAGAACGCCCAGGACUGAAACAUGGCCCGUGGCAGCUGCUCCGGGCGCAGACUCGCAACCCAGGUGUGCCCCGACUCCACUCUGCCAGCUGAAUCCUGGGAGCGGGCUACUGCGCUGUUCCUUCAUUAUUUCAGAGGCAGUCACGGAGGAGAUGCCGGCUCCAUCCAUCACAAUGCACAAAUUCGCAGCGCGCGGAUUCAGCACAGGCCUAAUUAAAGCUUUUCCUUUCAUUUGUGGAGAUAAUUAGACUUUCAUCUCACCAGGAAGCUUCAGAAAGAUCUAUUUCUUUCUUCAAUAAAAGCUACAUCAAACAAAAGCAGAUUUUAAUCGCCUUUUCUUUGGGGCAUGAGUCAAUAAUGAAAGAUGUCAGGGGUAACAAAAAAUUGUGUGCAGAGGAAAAAAAAAGGGAGAGGAGGAAAAAAAAUGCAGAUGUGAGAAAAAAUACUUCUGUGGGACCUAGAUGAGCCAGCAUGUGGAACCAAGGUUGGAGGCAGAGGAUUCAAGAGCGAGUCUAUCUUGGAAGAAGUCCUGAAAGCAAGUCUGUGCUGCCAUGCUGCUGCUGCUGCUAAGUCAAAUCAGUCGUGUCCGACUCUCUGCAACCCCAUAGAAGGCAGCCCACCAGGCUCCACCGUCCCUGAGAUUCUCCAGGCAAGAACAAUGGAGUGGGUUGAAUUCUCCAUGCUGAACACCUACUUCCUGCAGGCAGUCUUCAGAUAAUAAUAUUUUCCCCAGCUUUUUCAAGACCCCAGUCUUUUUCAUUGAUGCAUCCCAGGGUGUCAAUUUCCCAACUAAGAUACAGAAAUUAAGAGACAGAAAUGAACUGUAAUUCACAUAGUUCACAUGUGGGCAGGGCUUCCCUGUGUAUGUUAUCAAGUAAUAACAAAAUGUCAAAGAUUGAAAAUGGACUAUUAUAGGAAAUAAGAAUAAUUUUGUGAUAAAUCCAAACAGUUUUGUACACAGAAGUUCCUAACCAUUUAUGGCAUGCUGAGAACUCAAAGUUAGCAGGAGAAAUAUGACCCUCCAUGGAUCCUGCCAUUAAUUUAAAACUGUUGUUGUUAGCUCAUCACUUAUUGGGUUGGCCAAAAUGUUGGUUCAGGUUUUCCAUAACAUCUUAUGGAGAAAGCUGAUCAAACUUUUUAUCCUAUUCAGUACAUAUUUGUCUUUAAGACUGUAAAUUUUCUGCUGAUGAUAAAAUCUUGUCUUAUAUUAUCAACCCAAGUCAUUAAAAAGGAAAAAAAAAAUCUUUAUCAAUCCAUCAACAAUUCAGUUCUCA